rnacentral:lncRNA from 1 species
GUAGGCAAUCUCUGUAAGCAGACUAUCCAAAUAAAGUGUUACCUACAGUGCACUGUGUACAUAGUUACACAUCUGUUGAGUGUAGUAAUGUGUGUUGGUGAUUCUAAAUGGCAUAGUACUGCUUUCCUCAUGCCAGAUAAUACAUACCCUUCUUGAGCAUGCGGCUGAUGUCACGCUGUGUAACCACAACAACCAGACAGCUAUGCAUGUCAGUCAUCGAGACCUCCAGGAGGAGUUGUUGUUGGCCAUGUUCAGGCCCCUGCCUCCUCAGGCUCAGCUCCUACAGGCGUGUUGGCAAGGGCACCUCCACCUGCUGCAGCACUUGCUGGCUCACACAUGCCAUGUGGACGUGGAUACUCCAAACAGGGAUGGGCUAACCCCUCUCAUGCUAGCUGUGAGAGAUGUUGACCUGUUUGAAAGUCUGAAGGGCCGUCUGCCCUGGGAAUACAAUCCACUGGGAGUGGUUAGGGAGCUUCUGUCACUGUCGCUUCACCGGGAGAUAUGCGACCUUAGGGGAUGCUCUGCCCUGCAGUAUGCUUCACAAGUUAAGAGUUCCCUGAGAGAAGAGCUGGUGCAAGUGAUAAUGGAUGCCCUCCACCAGCAAGGUACUGUGUGAUAGUAAGACUACCAAAUGCCUUGGCUGUUUCUGAUGAAGAUGCUAGUGUGGAUUUAAACAGUCUUGUUCUUUUUGUCAAAACAGUGCUCAUGCCCCUGCACUCUGAGUGUGUUGAUCAAGAGGAAUGGUCUGUGAGUAUCUCACAUUGCUUCUCACCCAGUGGUCUCCUUGAGCAGACAUCUGGCAUUUCUGAGGUAAAGCGUCAACUCCCAUUGAAGAGAAUGGUCUAUUUUUUAUAUUUUAAUCAUGGCUAAAAUACAAGGUUAAGAGCACUCUUAAUGGUACUCAUUACAAUGCUAGCAGACAAUAAGAUGAAAAAUGUCCGAAAGUAAAAUGUCUGGUAAAAUAAACGUCAACACCUUAGAAGCUGGUGUAUUUUA